AUUGAACGCUGGCGGCAGGCCUAACACAUGCAAGUCGAACGGUAACAGGAAGCAGCUUGCUGCUUCGCUGACGAGUGGCGGACGGGUGAGUAAUGUCUGGGAAACUGCCUGAUGGAGGGGGAUAACUACUGGAAACGGUAGCUAAUACCGCAUAACGUCGCAAGACCAAAGAGGGGGACCUUCGGGCCUCUUGCCAUCGGAUGUGCCCAGAUGGGAUUAGCUAGUAGGUGGGGUAACGGCUCACCUAGGCGACGAUCCCUAGCUGGUCUGAGAGGAUGACCAGCCACACUGGAACUGAGACACGGUCGAGACUCCUACGGGAGGCAGCAGUGGGGAAUAUUGCACAAUGGGCGCAAGCCUGAUGCAGCCAUGCCGCGUGUAUGAAGAAGGCCUUCGGGUUGUAAAGUACUUUCAGCGGGGAGGAAGGGAGUAAAGUUAAUACCUUUGCUCAUUGACGUUACCCGCAGAAGAAGCACCGGCUAACUCCGUG
rnacentral:rRNA from 1 species